rnacentral:misc_RNA from 1 species
AAUUCUCAACCUUUCUGGCUUUUACAAAGCUAGUCAGGCUUGGAUUGUGGGAGUUGCUGGCUUUCAAGUCGGCUCUUCUAAAAUGCAUUAGCAAGAUCGUUGCUGCUCAUCACUGGUAUGAUAAUUAUCUAUACCGUUGAGAGUCAGUUUCCUUUAUUGGAGGAUCAUGCUCCUAACCGUCUUCCCUAAGACAACAUUUGACCA